GCGGAGGUGGCGGAGUGGUUAAACGCGCAAGCUUGGAAAGCUUGUUCCUUCACGGGAACGCGAGUUCGAAUCUCGUCCUCCGCG
rnacentral:tRNA from 1 species